AGUGGCGAACGGGUGAGUAACACGUGGGUAACCUGCCCAUCAGAAGGGGAUAACACUUGGAAACAGGUGCUAAUACCGUAUAACAAUCGAAACCGCAUGGUUUUGAUUUGAAAGGCGCUUUCGGGUGUCGCUGAUGGAUGGACCCGCGGUGCAUUAGCUAGUUGGUGAGGUAACGGCUCACCAAGGCGACGAUGCAUAGCCGACCUGAGAGGGUGAUCGGCCACAUUGGGACUGAGACACGGCCCAAACUCCUACGGGAGGCAGCAGUAGGGAAUCUUCGGCAAUGGACGAAAGUCUGACCGAGCAACGCCGCGUGAGUGAAGAAGGUUUUCGGAUCGUAAAACUCUGUUGUUAGAGAAGAACAAGGAUGAGAGUAACUGUUCAUCCCUUGACGGUAUCUAACCAGAAAGCCACGGCUAACUACGUGCCAGCAGCCGCGGUAAUACGUAGGUGGCAAGCGUUGUCCGGAUUUAUUGGGCGUAAAGCGAGCGCAGGCGGUUUCUUAAGUCUGAUGUGAAAGCCCCCGGCUCAACCGGGGAGGGUCAUUGGAAACUGGGAGACUUGAGUGCAGAAGAGGAGAGUGGAAUUCCAUGUGUAGCGGUGAAAUGCGUAGAUAUAUGGAGGAACACCAGUGGCGAAGGCGGCUCUCUGGUCUGUAACUGACGCUGAGGCUCGAAAGCGUGGGGAGCAAACAGGAUUAGAUACCCUGGUAGUCCACGCCGUAAACGAUGAGUGCUAAGUGUUGGAGGGUUUCCGCCCUUCAGUGCUGCAGCUAACGCAUUAAGCACUCC
rnacentral:rRNA from 1 species